rnacentral:rRNA from 1 species
AACGAACGCUGGCGGCGUGCCUAACNCAUGCAAGUCGAGCGAGAAGCUCCUUCGGGAGUGAGUAAAGCGGCGCACGGGUGAGUAACACGUAGGUAACCUACCCUCGAGCCUGGGAUAACCUACCGAAAGGUGGGCUAAUACCGGAUAUGACCCACGGGAGCCACGGCUCCUGCGGUGAAAGAUGGCCUAAGCUUGCAAGCUAUCACUUGAGGAUGGGCCUGCGCACCAUUAGCUAGUUGGCGGGUAAUGCCACCAAGGCUAUGAUGGUUAGCUGGUCUGAGAGGAUGGCCAGCACACUGGGACUGAAACACGGCCCAGACUCUACGGGGGGCAGCAGUGGGGGAUAUU